rnacentral:rRNA from 1 species
AGCGUUGUUCGGAAUUACUGGGCGUAAAGGGCACGUAGGCGGCUUUGUAAGUUAGAGGUGAAAGCCCAGGGCUCAACCCUGGAAUUGCCUUUAAGACUGCAUCGCUUGAACAUCGGAGAGGUAAGUGGAAUUCCGAGUGUAGAGGUGAAAUUCGUAGAUAUUCGCAAGAACACCAGUGGCGAAGGCGGCUCACUGGCUCGGAACUGACGCUGAGACGCGAAAGCGUGGGGAGCAAACCGG